rnacentral:rRNA from 1 species
GACUUUCAGGGCUUGCUCUGAAAGUUAGUGGCGGACGGCUGAGUAACGCGUAGGUGACCUACCCCGAAGUGGGGAAUAACUGCCCGAAAGGGUGGCUAAUACCGCAUACGAUCGAUCAUUCACUUGAUCGAUGAAAGCAGUAAUGCGCUUUGGGAGGGGCCUGCGUCCGAUUAGCUCGUUGGUGGGGUAAUGGCUCACCAAGGCGACGAUCGGUAGGUGGUCUGAGAGGACGAUCACCCAGACUGGGACUGAGACACGGCCCAGACUCCUACGGGAGGCAGCAGUCGGGAAUUUUGCUCAAUGGGCGCAAGCCUGAAGCAGCAACGCCGCGUGAGGGAUGAAGGCCUUCGGGUUGUAAACCUCUUUUAUCAGGGACGAUUAUGACGGUACCUGAUGAAUAAGCCACGGCUAACUACGUGCCAGCAGCCGCGGUAAUACGUAGGUGGCAAGCGUUGUCCGGAUUUACUGGGCGUAAAGAGCGCGCAGGCGGUCGAGUAAGUCGAAUGUGAAAGCCCCCGGCUUAACUGGGGAGGGUCAUUCGAUACUGUUCGACUUGAAGGCAGGAGAGGGCAGCAGAAUUCCCGGUGUAGUGGUGAAAUGCGUAGGUAUCGGGAGGAAUACCAGUGGCGAAGGCGGCUGCCUGGCCUGUUCUUGACGCUGAGGCGCGAAAGCUGGGGGGAGCAAACGGGAUUAGAUACCCCGGUAGUCCCAGCCGUAAACGAUGGACACUAGGUGUUGGUGGUAUCAACCCCGCCAGUGCCGUAGCUAACGCAUUAAGUGUCCCGCCUGGGGAGUAC